GGAGAGGUGGCUGAGAGGCUGAAGGCAACGGAUUGCUAAUCCGUCGUAGGGGCUCAACCCCUACCGAGGGUUCGAAUCCCUCCCUCUCCG
rnacentral:tRNA from 1 species